rnacentral:snoRNA from 1 species
GUUGGUUGAAAAUCACCCUCGGCUUUGGCUGUGGUCAUGGAUAAGAUUCAGCACCCAGAACCACCAGGGCCUCAGCUCACCGCCCACUGCCUCAUGUGCAAGGGUAAAACCCAGGCCCCGACAGUC